AGGGUUAUAGCUCAAUUGGUAGAGCAGCACACUGGGGCCGUCAACUUUACACACGUACUUCAGAAGGUCCCGCGUUCGAUUCGUGGAAUCCCUA